rnacentral:rRNA from 1 species
AGUUGGUGGAGCGAUCUGUCUGGUUAAUUCCGUUAACGAACGAGAUCUUGACCUGCUAAAUAGGUAUCCUAAUGUGAUUAUCUUCUUAGAGGGACACUUUAUCGUCUAGAUAAAGGAAGCUUGAGGUAAUAACAGGUC